GGACUACUGGGGUUUCUAAUCCUGUUUGAUCCCCACGCUUUCGUGCCUCAGUGUCAAUCGAUCCGUAGUAAGCUGCCUUCGCAAUGGGUGUUCUAUGUCAUAUCUAAGCAUUUCACCGCUACAUGACAUAUUCCGCUUACCUCCAGAUAAUUCAAGAUCUAUAGUAUCAAUGGCAGUUUCCGAGUUAAGCUCGAAGAUUUCACCACUGACUUACAGACCCACCUACGCACCCUUUAAACCCAGUAAAUCCGGAUAACGCUUGCACCCUCCGUAUUACCGCGGCUGCUGGCAC
rnacentral:rRNA from 1 species